UACAGAGGGGGCAAGCGUUGUUCGGAAUUACUGGGCGUAAAGGGCGCGUAGGCGGCCUGCUAAGUCGAACGUGAAAUCCCCGGGCUCAACCCGGGAACUGCGUCCGAUACUGGCAGGCUUGAAUCCGGGAGAGGGAUGCGGAAUUCCAGGUGUAGCGGUGAAAUGCGUAGAUAUCUGGAGGAACACCGGUGGCGAAGGCGGAUCUCUGGGCCUUACCUGACGCUCAGGUGCGAAAGCUAGGGGAGCGAACAGG
rnacentral:rRNA from 1 species